rnacentral:rRNA from 1 species
UACGAAGGGUGCAAGCGUUAUUCGGAGUUACUGGGCGUAAAGAGUAUGUAGGCGGUUUGUUAAGUUAGUUGUUAAAGACCACGGCUCAACCGUGGAAAGGCAGCUGAUACUGAUGAGCUAGAGCGCAGAAGAGAGGAGUGGAAUUCCCGGAGUAGCGGUAAAACGCGUAGAUCUCGGGAGGAACACCGGUUGCGAAGGCGGCUUCUUGGUCUGUGGCUGACGCUAAAGUACGAAAGCGUGGGGAGCAAACAGG